rnacentral:rRNA from 1 species
AGAGGAAGUAAAAGUCGUAACAAGGUUUCCGUAGGUGAACCUGCGGAAGGAUCAUUAUCGAGUUUUGACUGGGUUGUAGCUGGCCUUCCGAGGCAUGUGCACGCCCUGCUCAUCCACUCUACACCUGUGCACUUACUGUGGGUUUCAAACGUCGUAAAGCGAGUCUCUUYACCGAGCUUGUAGAGCGGCGUCUGUGCCUGCGUUUAUCACAAACUCUAUAAAGUAUYAGAAUGUGUAUUGCGAUGUAACGCAUCUAUAUACAACUUUCAGCAACGGAUCUCUUGGCUCUCGCAUCGAUGAAGAACGCAGCGAAAUGCGAUAAGUAAUGUGAAUUGCAGAAUUCAGUGAAUCAUCGAAUCUUUGAACGCACCUUGCGCUCCUUGGUAUUCCGAGGAGCAUGCCUGUUUGAGUGUCAUGAAAUCUUCAACUUACAGACCUUUGCGGGUUUUGUAGGCUUGGACUUGGAGGCUUGUCGGCCGUGUUUCGGUCGGCUCCUCUUAAAUGCAUUAGCUUGAUUCCUUGCGGAUCGGCUCUCGGUGUGAUAAUGUCUACGCCGCGACCGUGAAGCGUUUUGGCGAGCUUCUAACCGUCCUUGUCUGGACRARUUUAUGACCUCUGACCUCAAAUCAGGUAGGACUACCCGCUGAACUUAAGCAUAUCAAUA